rnacentral:rRNA from 1 species
AUUGAACGCUGGCGGCAGGCCUAACACAUGCAAGUCGAGCGGAUGAGUGGAGCUUGCUCCACGAUUCAGCGGCGGACGGGUGAGUAAUGCCUAGGAAUCUGCCUGGUAGUGGGGGACAACGUUUCGAAAGGAACGCUAAUACCGCAUACGUCCUACGGGAGAAAGCAGGGGACCUUCGGGCCUUGCGCUAUCAGAUGAGCCUAGGUCGGAUUAGCUAGUUGGUGAGGUAAUGGCUCACAAAGGCGAGGAUCCGUAACUGGUCUGAGAGGAUGAUCAGUCACACUGGAACUGAGACACGGUCCAGACUCCUACGGGAGGCAGCAGUGGGGAAUAUUGGACAAUGGGCGAAAGCCUGAUCCAGCCAUGCCGCGUGUGUGAAGAAGGUCUUCGGAUUGUAAAGCACUUUAAGUUGGGAGGAAGGGUUGUAGGUUAAUACCCUGCAAUUUUGACGUUACCGACAGAAUAAGCACCGGCUAACUUCGUGCCAGCCGCCGCGGUAAUAC